rnacentral:rRNA from 1 species
CCUACGGGUGGCUGCAGUGGGGAAUAUUGGACAAUGGGGGAAACCCUGAUCAAGCGACGCCGCGUGAGUGAAGAAGUAUUUCGGUACGUAAAGCUCUAUCAGCAGGAAAGAAAAUGACGGUACCUGAAUAAGAAGCCCCGGCUAACUACGUGCCAGCAGCCGCGGUAAUACGUAGGGGGCAAGAGUUAUCCGGAUUUACUGGGUGUAAAGGGAGAGUAGACGGCAGCGAAAGUCUGGAGUGAAAUGCCGGGGCCCAACCCCGGUACUGGUUUGGCAACUGUGAAGCGUGAGGGCAGGGGAGGUAAGCGGAAUUCCUGGGGUAGCGGGGAAAUGCGUAGAUAUCACGAAGAACUCCGAUGGCGAAGGCAGCUUACUAAACUGCCACUGACAUUGAUGCUCGACAGUGUGGGUAUCAAACAGGAUUAGAUACCCGGGUAGUC